GACGAACGCUGGCGGCGUGCUUAACACAUGCAAGUCGAACGGAAAGGCCCUGCUUGCAGGGCACUCGAGUGGCGAACGGGUGAGUAACACGUGGGUGAUCUGCCCUGCACUUCGGGAUAAGCUUGGGAAACUGGGUCUAAUACCGGAUAGGAGCCAUCUUUAGUGUGGUGGUUGGAAAGUUUUUUCGGUGUAGGAUGAGCUCGCGGCCUAUCAGCUUGUUGGUGGGGUAAUGGCCUACCAAGGCGGCGACGGGUAGCCGGCCUGAGAGGGUGUACGGCCACAUUGGGACUGAGAUACGGCCCAGACUCCUACGGGAGGCAGCAGUGGGGAAUAUUGCACAAUGGGCGCAAGCCUGAUGCAGCGACGCCGCGUGGGGGAUGAAGGCCUUCGGGUUGUAAACUCCUUUCGCUAGGGACGAAGCUUUUUGUGACGGUACCUAGAUAAGAAGCACCGGCUAACUACGUG
rnacentral:rRNA from 1 species